UCCUCAGAAAUAAUUCAUAAACGCACAGAGAGCAGUCUGUACUUCACCUACAUUAGCUGUUCCUGCAAAUGGACUAGGCCAUGCGGACAGCUGGACAUGAGGUGUACAGCGUCUGUCUGCACAGUGGUAUUUUUAUUCAGCCUGUUCCAACUCUUCUUUCCCACCAGACAGACUCUACACAGUAAAUCCACCUCUACUGGAAGCACAGGCGGGCCAAGAUUAACACUGACGUGCCAACAUCACAUCAAAACCUCUCGUUUGACGAAGAGGUCACAUAAAAUUGUUAUUCAGAAGACGAAGUUAUAAACAUGAAGACAGCACAUUUAUCACUAACACAAUGGUCAUUUCAUUUCAAGUUAAACUAGAAUCAUCGGAAGGCGGAUUGCUUCAUGGCUUUAGGCAGGAAAUGCGUGAUGUGUGCGCAUGUGGGACAUGCUGGAUAGAAAACUACCAUCACACAAUAACUGACUUAUGCUGACGCUUGAGUUCUUCCAGUGUAGACACACCCUUUUGUGCAACACUGCCAAGAUAUCAGCGGUUGUUCCUCUGUUUCCUGUAUGGAUUCUGGCCUCCUCCCCAAGAGUAAAACUUGAAACAAAUCAAAAGAUUGAAAUAUUUGAUAAUGUUAAAAGAAUUUAGGUUGCAGGAAUACAAUUUUACUACUUCCUCAGAUCUUGCUUGCAGUAGCCUUUUAAAAUGCCUGGAUUGAACCUGUGUUUUUACGAAGCCUCUUGUUUUGUCAGUGCUAUACUGUUGUAUAACAGCUGAAUUCUGAGUACCUAUCUGUUUUCCUUUGCACUUAAGCAGAGCCUCUUUUUCCUCAAUAAAGCCUCUAUGUGCGACCAUGC